AAUUUGGCUAUUGUUGAUAAUGUUAUGAACAUAGGGGUGCACAUACCCCUUCAAAUCUGUAUUUUUGUAUAUUUUGGGUAAAUACCUAAUAGUGUAAUUGCUGGAUCAUAGGGUAGUUCUAUUUUUAGUUUUUUGAGGAACCUCCAUACUGUUCUCUAAAGGGGCUACACCGAUGUGCAUUCCCACCAACAGUGCAAGAGGGUUCCUCUUUCUCCACAUCCUUGCCAACGCUUUUUGUUUCUUGUGUUGUUAAUUUUAGCCAUUCUGACAGGUGUGAGAGGACAAUUUUUAAAAAUUACCUCAGAAAAAUGCAGGCAGCAACAAGAAUGUAAUAAACAGUUACAUGCAAUAUUUUUUAACUUUUAUGACUCAAAUCCAUUCAGAUAUUUAUUCGACAAUUACUGAUGAGGUCCCUGCUAAAUUCUAGAAUGUAAAGUUAGUAAACACACAUAGCUUUUGUCUUUAUCAGAGUUGCAGUCUAGUAUUAACUUUAUUCUAAUUUUCAUUAUGAUUUUUCUUAAUCUUUUGAUUGUUUAAUAAAUUAUGUUUAUGACUUUUCCCAAAUCUAUUUUCUUGUAAUAUUUGUUUUUACUUAUUCCAAAUAUAAUUGCAUUGAACAAAUAGAAUAUGGUUUGAAGUAUACUGACUGAAAUUUACUGAAAAUCUUUUUAUGGUAUGAUAUGUGGUCAGCUUUCAUCAAUGUUCCACGUAUGCUUGAAAAGAAUAUGUUCUCUGAUCAUAAUGUGUGCAGGGCUUAAUUUGUCCCCAUUACAUAAAUUAUUAAUUGUGUUUGUUCAAAUAUUCUUUAUUCCCAUGAUUAUAAUAGUUUGCUUUAUCUAUUAAUUGUGUAGAAGGUGUGUUAAAAUUCCCCCCAAUUAUGGUGCAUUUGUCAACUUCCCCUUGCAACUUCGUUAACUUUUUGGCUUUGUAUGUUAUGAGGCCAUGUUAAUAGCUACAUACAGGUUUAUAAUUUUUAUAUCAUUCUGACUAAUUGAACUAGUCAAACUCUAGGUGACUGCAGCAUUGGCUGACAGCAAGACUGAAACCUCCUGUGAGACCCUGAACUCCUGUGAGAUGCUGAACUACUCAGUGCAUGCUGAUGAAGAACCACGAGGGCUGUUUCCACCGCCUCUGUAUCUUCAAGAAGACUGGGUCAAUCCUGUUCAUCAGGGCAAUUCCUGGAGCUGGUCUCUACAGGUAUCAAGAGCAAUAAAUCUCCUCUAAGUACUACAUUGGCAGCAUCCCUGUAGACUCUCGUAAUUUUUUCUGUUGCAUCUUAAAUGUCUCCCCAACCAAAAGUUUAUUUAAGAAGAAUUUACUCUCCUGAAUGCAAUAGGAAAAAGAGCUGAAAAAGAGGUACAACUAGAGGAAGGAAAUGGCAUACGAUAAAAUGAUCAGUUGUUGAUAUUAUGAUGUUACACCCAAGAUAAUCAAAUGAAAAUUAGUCAACACUUAGUUAAAGUGAAGAGAUGUAAAAUAAAUAUUACCAAAAUGAUUCCUUUCUUCCUUUGUACUAAGAAUUAGAAAACAAAACAGUAGGCAGACCCCAUACACGAUAACAACUAUAAAAAUAAAUCAUCCUAAAAUUCGUUUACCAAUAAAUAUGCAGAAAGUAUAUGAAAACUACAAAAUUUACUACGAGUUAUAAAAAGACAAUGGGGCACCUGGGUGGCUUAGUUGGUUAAGCUUCCUACUUCAGCUCGGGUCAUGAUCUCACAGCUUGUGAGUUUGAGCCCCACGUUGGGGUCUGUGCUGACAGCUCAGAGCCUGGAGCUUGCUUUGGAUUCUGUGUGGAGACACAGACACUCUCUCUGCCCCUUCCCUGCUUGUGCUCUGUUUCUCUCUCAAAAAAAUAAUAAACAUCAAAAAAAUAAAAAUAAAAAGACAAGAAAAUAAGUAGACAUAUCAUGCUCAUGCAUGAAAAGACUCAAUGUUGUAAAGAUGUGUAUCUUUUCCUGUUAGUUUAUAUGCUUAGUGUAAUGUCAGUCAGAAUCUCAAUGGAACAGUUUGGAAAAUAUGCCCAAAUGAUUCUGAAACUCAUCUGGGGAAAUAAAUGGCAAUAAUUUGUCCUACUUCUCUUCCUGGUGGGGGUGGAGGUCUGGGCUGGGUGAGGAGUGGAGAUGGGAGGAAGGUGAGGUGGUGGUCUAGGUGUAGAGGACCAGCCAUCACCGGGGUUGUCUUGAGGCCCACUUGAAAAAUGGACAAGGACAACUCCUGGACAAGAUUUUGGGCACUUCCCACUGAGAAAUGAGUGCAUUUUGGUCAUUCAACAAAUAUUCCUUGAACAUCAGGCGUGAUUCUAGGAACCAGGGAUGGAGCAGUGGGCAAAACAAAGUCCCGCCCUUGGGAAAACUUAGGUUUUAUUUGGACAAGGGUGACAGUCGACUUGGGUUUCGCUGGAUGAUUCUUCAGCCUUAUAAGGGAGACCUGGAAACACCUACCAAGAUCCUAAUGGACUAAAUUAAAGAUUCUU